GGGGAUGUAGCUCAAACGGUACAGCGCUCACUUUGCAUGUGAGAGGCACGUGAUUCGAUACCCCACAUCUCCG
rnacentral:tRNA from 1 species